rnacentral:lncRNA from 1 species
CCACAAUGGCAGGAGACACCAUGAGAUGUUUUCUACUGUAGAAACUUUCUCAUUAGAAAUAGCCCAUUUAUACAGGGGACUGGCUAAUGUUUUUCUAUGAGUAUCAUUAGCCAGUGUCUCAAAGUGGUGAAGAGUAAGUAUAUAGCAUCUUUCAAAAGACUGCAACCUGGAACAAGGAGAGACAAAGGGAAGGAGGAGUCUGGAGCCAUAUUGAAGAUGAAAUUGAGAUAUGGACUAGGUGGUGGAUCGUUUUUAUAAGAGGACAUAAAAGAGGAUGCUAAAGCUAAUUGCCACAAUCAGAACUCAAAGACCUAGCAAAUGCAAGACACUGGCCACCUCCCUGAACCUGGGCCAAGAUGAGGGUCUACACCUUGGCUUAGUUCUACUAUGAAAGACUUUCCUGCAGUAAAAGUUACCUGUCUGAAACAUUCAGAAGAGUGAAAAUGCCACAUCUCCAAUUUCCAGCAAUAUAUUUGUCUGCCAUGAUUUGGCCUGGAAGCUUAAGCAGGAAGACCACUUGGAGCCAGACUUCAGAGUGAUCUGUCUCUAAGGAAUAACUUUCAUAUUGCAGCGUUCGGUUUUGCAAUUCUUCCUAAGCUACUCUAAAUUCGCAGCAUAAAUCUGCAGAAAGACUUCACCCUCCACAUCAAACCCUUAUAAGGAUCCAUUUCUGCUCUCAUUUUAGAAUAUCUUUUCUAAUAGCUAAAGGCAGACAGAGGCAAACCAAGAAAUCCAGACUUUGCAUCAACGGGUUAAAUCAUAUGUCAAAGGUGCAACCAUAACGUAUUACAAGCUUCUCAUCACAUAAUACAUCACUCAAGAAAAAAUAUUUGGGCAGCUUUUCUAAUUCAUCUUCCUGGUGUUAAAGGAGCACAUCUCCAGUGUUCGUGUCUUCUGUUUCAAUUAAAGCAAUCAUGCCUACUCUUUUAGGAAACUA